ACAUUGCCCGAGCCUUUUAGCUUUUCUGGCUCACACACAACUUCCUUUCCUUUUUUAUAUGGAAAUCAGGGAAGAGGGUAGUGUAUAUUAGUAUAUUAGCAUUUCUAGCAGAUUUUUAACUGCCACUGAUGCCCGUUCAUCUUUGCAGUGUGGGUUUUCAUGCUGACAAAUCCUCUGCUUUGCCUUCUGCUCAGAGUCAGGUGGGCCCUUUAUUGAACAGAUUUAUCUGCUACAAGGCUACGCAGAAGGAUGGAAAGGAGGAACACAGGGGGAAAAAAAAAUAGAUGAAAGGCCAUGCAUUGAUCACCUGAUGUACUCCAGAGACAAACAUGGCUAUUACAGGGGCUGGUUCUGGGGUAACAAGGAAACACAAGGCCUAAACACCUCUGGCUUGUCUGUCCAAGGAUCUGCCUCAAUUGUGGCUCCCAUCCUUCUGAAGAACUCUUCAGCACAAGGCAGGGUUCCUGGACGAGGUGACCCAGGACAGCUUCGUGCUGGGCCCGGGCUACGACCGCCCCUAGCAGCUGGAGCCCGCGGUGAGGGAGCCCAAGAGCAUCCAGCUGUACCAGCACCUCAGCCUCAAGAGCUGCAUCUGGACCUUCGACGCUUAUUACGACAUGACCGAGUUAAUUGAUGUCUGUGGGGGCUCUGUCACCGCUGACUUCCAGGUAAGGGACUCUGCCCAGUCCUUCCUGACAGUCCACGUCCCUCUCUCCGUGUCCUACAUCUGUGUGACGGCACCGAGGGGCUGGGCUUCCCUGGAGCACCGCACCGAGAUGGAGUUCUCCUUCUUCUACGACACCGUUCUCUGGAGGACAGGGAUCCAGACGGACAGCGUGCUCUCGGCCCGCCUGCAGAUAAUCCCCAUCUACAUCCGCGAGGACGGACGGCUGGUCAGCGAGUUCAGGACGCAGGCCAAGUUCAGAGCGCUGUUUGUCACGGAGCACCACAGCCUGCCAGAGGUCAGGUCCUCUUUGAGAACUCCAGAGCACCUGGGAGGCAUCGAAUUUGACCUGCAGCUGCUGUGGAGUGCUCAGACUUUUGAUUCUCCCUACCAGCUCUGGAGAGCAACCAGCUCCUACAACAGGAAGGAUUACUCUGGAGAAUACACCAUGUUCCCGAUCCCCUGCACGGUGCAGCCCACGCAGCCGUGGGCAGAGCCUGGAGCCAAGCCCCUGCCCUGCAUGGCUCACGCUCCCGAGCGGUUUUUGAUCCUGAUCACCUUCCAGCAGACAAGCCGCCCAGUUCCAGUUGUUUACUCCCAGAACGCAAGAGUUUCAGAUCUGUAACGACGAGAAGGUUUUUCUAAUGGACCCCACCAAAUCGGAAAGGUCUCUGGCAGAAAUGGAUUACAAGGGGGGCUUUUUCCAAGGGGCAGAUCCUGUACGGGCACGUGCUCUGGCACCCGGAACAAAACCUCAACGCUGCUUACAAGCUGCAGCUGGAGAAGGUCAACCUGUGCACAGGCAGGGAUGGCUACGUGCCCUUCCUCGACCCCACGGGUACCGUCUACAACGAGGGGCCCCGGUACGGCUGCAUCCAGCCCAACAAGUACCUGAAACACCGAUUCCUCCUCCUGGACCAAAACCAGCCAGAAGUGAGGGAUAAGUAUUUCCACGAUGUGCCUUUUGACGCCCACUUUGCUUCCCAGCUGUCCGAGUUCCACUCGGUGAGCAGCAUGCCCGGAGUUGAUGGAUUUACUCUCAAGGUGGACGCUCUCUACAAGGUAUGUAGUACCCAGUGCUUUUGGUAGCCCAAAAUGGACUUCUCUGUCCAGGACCUCCCAAACACUUGGUGAAUUGUAGACUCUGGGCCUUCAGAAUUCACCUCUGAUACAAGAAAUGAAGAUUAGGAUGUUAGUCCCGUAAUUUCAUUUUUUUUUUUC